GAUGAACGCUAGCUACAGGCUUAACACAUGCAAGUCGAGGGGAAACGGCAUUGAGUGCUUGCACUCUUUGGACGUCGACCGGCGCACGGGUGAGUAACGCGUAUCCAACCUUCCCAUGACUAAGGGAUAACCUGCCGAAAGGCAGACUAAUACCUUAUGGUCUUCACUGACGGCAUCAGAUGUGAAGUAAAGAUUUAUCGGUUAUGGAUGGGGAUGCGUCUGAUUAGUUAGUUGGUGGGGUAAAGGCCUACCAAGGCGACGAUGCAUAGCCGACCUGAGAGGGUGAUCGGCCACACUGGGACUGAGACACGGCCCAGACUCCUACGGGAGGCAGCAGUAGGGAAUCUUCCGCAAUGGGCGAAAGCCUGACGGAGCAACGCCGCGUGAGUGAAGAAGGAUUUCGGUUCGUAAAGCUCUGUUGUUAGGGAAGAAUGAUUGUAUAGUAACUAUAUACAGUAGAGACGGUACCUAACCAGAAAGCCACGGCUAACUACGUGCCAGCAGCCGCGGUAAUACGUAGGUGGCAAGCGUUGUCCGGAAUUAUUGGGCGUAAAGCGCGCGCAGGUGGUUUAAUAAGUCUGAUGUGAAAGCCCACGGCUCAACCGUGGAGGGUCAUUGGAAACUGUUAAACUUGAGUGCAGGAGAGAAAAGUGGAAUUCCUAGUGUAGCGGUGAAAUGCGUAGAGAUUAGGAGGAACACCAGUGGCGAAGGCGGCUUUUUGGCCUGUAACUGACACUGAGGCGCGAAAGCGUGGGGAGCAAACAGG
rnacentral:rRNA from 1 species